UCUCUCCUGCAGAGAGGAGAAUUGAACCUAAUCCAUCCUUCCGCAGGAUAAAAUGUGGCCAGCAAGGGCAAUUGUGAAUCUGUCUCACAGCUCUUCAGCCCUCUGCCCUUCUGCACUCCUUCCUGAGACAGCAUCUGGACUCUUCCAGGACCCUAUCAGCAUCUUGAAGGUGAAAUCAGAGAUUUCCAGUUGGCUCGGUGGUUGCUUGGACCCAAGAAGGAAGGACCGGAAUAAAGGUGCAGAAACAGAGCCCAGGACUCUACCCUGUAGGCCUUCCCAGGACUCUCCAGCUGCCCAGAUGGACACUGUGAUGAUGCUGUGGCCCUUUCUCAGUGUGCAUACUCAUGGAGUGCUGCCCUGGCUGUCUCUUGCCAUUGGAUUUGUCCUGGUGUGCUUCUGAGCCAGCUUCCUGCCAUCAAAUGAGAGAGGCAU
rnacentral:lncRNA from 1 species